AACGAACGCUGGCGGCAUGCCUAACACAUGCAAGUCGAACGAGACCUUCGGGUCUAGUGGCGCACGGGUGCGUAACGCGUGGGAACCUGCCCUUAGGUUCGGAAUAACUCCCCGAAAGGGGUGCUAAUACCGGAUAAUGUCUUCGGACCAAAGAUUUAUCGCCUUUGGAUGGGCCCGCGUUGGAUUAGCUAGUUGGUAGGGUAAAAGCCUACCAAGGCGACGAUCCAUAGCUGGUCUGAGAGGAUGAACAGCCACACUGGGACUGAGACACGGCCCAGACUCCUACGGGAGGCAGCAGUGGGGAAUAUUGGACAAUGGGCGAAAGCCUGAUCCAGCAAUGCCGCGUGAGUGAUGAAGGCCUUAGGGUUGUAAAGCUCUUUUACCCGGGAUGAUAAUGACAGUACCGGGAGAAUAAGCUCCGGCUAACUCCGU
rnacentral:rRNA from 1 species